UAGAAGUUCCCAGUUGCCAAAUGUCUACUCUUAAGAGAGCAUCUCCAUUCUCCCAGAAUCACCUGGGAAGCAGCUGCUGUGAGUCUGGCCCAGGUUCUGUUCCCUGCACCCACCUAACUCAGUGCAUCUGCAUCAAGACUGGAAUCUCAGGUUCUCAGAUUGGAGGUAAGAGAUGUUAUGAGCCAGUGUUGGUGAACAGUUGAAAGGGAGUAUUUCAGGUCCUGUAUCUCACCUGAAGUCUCACAGCUGUGAGCAGUGCCUUCAUAAAGUCCCCUGAGUUCACAGAGCCCAGGAAGAAUCACAGUGGACAGAGCAGUCAUGCUGAUGUUUGUGUUUCUGUACAUGGGCUCAUGGGCACCACCUCUGGAUCCAUCCAGGAGGAAAUAGACUGGUCAGGUAGGGACCAACGCUCCAGGGUUGACCAGUGAGAGAGGGUUCUUGGGGAUUGGGUUACACUUGUUUUGGAGCCUAGGAUGGGAUCAAUGAAGUGACUAAAUAUAAAAGGAAACAGGUAUAGAAGUCUGACUUGGGUUUUUUUGUUUUUUUGGUUUUUUUUGUAUCUUAAUGACAAAGUUGUAAGAGUUGUGUUCUUAUGGGCUUUGUGCGAGUUGUGUUUGUCACCAUCAUUUCUUGCUCUGGUGUUUAAAGAUUACAUUUUGCAGAGGACCAGAUCAUUCCUGCCUUUGCCACAGCAAGCACCAGAGCCCUGGGUUUUGAUGAGAUAGCACUUUUUUUGUGAAUAGAGAUCAGAAAAUGAGUAUGUAGGUGUAAAGCUGAGUAUGGGGUGGGACACAGCCCUUUACUGGUGCUACGUGAUCCUGAAGACGAAGUCCUUCAUACAUGUGCCAGGAGGUGAAAGGAGCCCACUGUCUUUCUCUACACUCUCGGGACCUGCAACAGCACCUUCCUGUCCUGUCCUCACCAUCUGCUCCUGCUCUAAGGGUGCUCCCUAUGUUGGAUGACAUAGGGAAUCCUUCCUCUGGAAUUCAUACAUGUGCCCCAGCAUCCUGGAGUUCUGAGGGCAGAACACAUGAUUGAGCACAUUUUUGGCCUCCACUCCUCACCCAGUCCCAUCCAAUCCCAAAUACUUGGGCUUUGAAUGAAACCUAAAUUGGCUUUUGUUGGAGAGGCCCGAGUCCAGCUGUUGCUCAAGGCCCUCUGUGGCUGGCAAGAAUCCUAGGGGAUAUAUGUGGAGGGGCUGCUGUGUUGCUGUAGGCAGCGGCUCUCACCCUCCCUGUAGCCUGGACCCUGGGAUCCACUGAGCCCAGGGCAGAGCCUCUGGGCAGCUGGCCCAGGGGUCAUUUGUCUUGUCACACCCUCUUCUCUGGCCCAGCAGCCUCGUCCUGCUCCCCAUACUCCAGUCAGGCCCAGCUUGUUCUCUGUGUCAAGCCUGCCAGGUGUCCUCCCUUUUAGUCUUCCCACAGCUCAGGCAAACCCUGGGAGGGCCACCUCAUUUCUGUGCUGACAACUGCUGGCCUCACCUGCAGAUUAAGGCAACUGGGACAAAGGGCUUUAUUCAGAAUUCUGUUCCAUUGUUUAGAAAUAUUCCGAAGCUGAUGGGAUUGUUUUGAGGGCUGAAUAUUUUCCAAGUCUCUAAGGUCAUUCCAGGCAUAGAACAGUCACUGUAUCUGUGACAUCAGCCAUCAUUGCCUCCCACAGGCCCCAACACAACCCCAGGCCUUUGGGAGGUGCUGCCGACCCAGGGUGAGAUCCGUCGGUUCAUUGUAGGCCCUGGCAGUGCAGCCUUGACCUUCUUUCCAAUGUUCUUAUUUGGAGAACAGUAGGACUGGUGAAGGUCCACAUGGAGAAAGGAAAUGGGAUUCAUGAGGGAACAGAAGCAGGUCCUACAGGAGGAGGAGGGAGGGAAUUCCACGUCAUGCACAACAUUGUGAAGAGGGUGGCUGCCUCUUGGAGGAACAGAAUGACACGGCUUCCCCUCCCUUGGCUCAGUUAUGGAAUGUGAGGGCUGAGAAAGUAUGUGGGAAGUCAGAGGUCCCUCCCUCAUACCACAGAAGAAACGAUACAGGCUGUGGAGAAGGCUCCAGAAAUGAGCACAUCAGAGGCUCUGGGGUUGGCUCCACAGCCCUGGAAGAGCAGGGUCUGAGUGGUUCUCUCGACUCUAACUCUCCCCUUUACUUCUUAUGGCCACCCCAUCACCACUGCUCAUCUAGACACUCUGAUGCUUGCUUCACAGAAUUGGAAGACCACCAUUACAGGCGGCCACCAGCAGAUGUCAGCAAUUCCUUCCUCUGCACCUGCAGAAGAAGCAACAGAAAAGACAAAAGUGGAAGAGGAAGUGAAAACCAGGAAGCCCAGGAAGAAUGCCAUGAACUGUUGGGACAUUUUUAGUUUAUUUUAGAGACCUCUGAAGAUUGUUGUCCUUGAUGCUGGAAAACACUUUGAAGACAAGACUCUAAACAGUGACGUAUGCCACACUAGUUUAUUGGAAAAUGAGAAACUUCAUUUCUGACAAGCUUGGAAGACUCUUCUGUCCUGCAGUGACCUGCGUUUCCCUGGUCUUUACCUUGCCACCCUGCUUUAUUCUCCUUUUUUGUGGCAGUAGUUAUGAUGCCAACUUUUGGGGUUCCUUUGUCCUCCUCUUUUCUUCCUACAUGCCAACAUUCAAAUGGCCACUUCUAUUAAGUGAUGGAAUUCAAAAAUUUGUUUCUGUAUAUUAAUCCUGAUAUGGUUUCACUCAUCCCUCAAUUUAACAUUUAGGGUACAAAGUAGUCACCUAGAGGUGCCACUCAAUAUACAGCACUGUGUUUAGAAAGUGAGGGAGCCAUGAAAUAUUUAGCCUCUGCUCUCUGAAACCUCAACCAGGUGCAAAGAAGAGAUGCAGAACCACAUUUCAGAUCGUGUUAUGUACACCCAGCAGCACCAAAACGAGCCUGGAAAUCAUGGGGGUCAGAAAUUUACCUCUGAGGCAG